GGGGGGGGGGGCUGGGGCUGUCAGAGUGCAGGGCCGGUUCAGCGGAGUGCUUUGAGAGGGAGGAGUGUUGUGUGGAGUCAGCGGUGGAGCAAUAAGAUUGUUUUCUUUUGGCCUGGAAAAGAAUGUUUGGGUCACUUUCAAAGGAUUAUCCUGCAGGGUCAUGUGGUUUAAUGCACGCUUUAAUCUCGCUUCAUUUCACCUUGUUGGAAGAAAAGUGGAUGAAGGCGUCAGUUUGAGCAAAGCCUGAUCCGUGCAGUCGGUGUCCCCAGUUUGUUUGCACACGGACUCUCAUGACUGACAGCAGAGUGGACUUUCACAUAGUUCACAGACGAUUACAAAAUCACAUAAUGGUGACACGAUGAAGAAAGAGGGGAAAAAAUUAAAUAUGAGGCCUUUUUUAUUUUGAUUUUGAUCUCACAGAGUCCAGAGGAAUGAUCCUUAAUCAGCCAGCCAAGCAAAAAAUAAAACAACAACAACAAACAAAGAUGAAGUGGAAGCAAAAAAUUAUAAUGAUAAAGUCCAAAAACAGGCUGGACAUGAAAACAGCCAACGCCAACCAGGAAACCACAAGAACACCAAGAACAGGAAGACCUCACACAAAGAAAAAGGAAAGAAGGAAACCUGCAGCGAGCAGCAACGCGACACAGCGUGAGGGGAGCAGGCGGGAAAUCAGCCGAUGCUGAGGGACAGCGGUGAGGCUCAUAUACUGUCAGUACGAACCACGGCAGUGAGAAACAGGUUCUAAUAGCAUUUGAUGUAAAAGGGCAAAGGUCAGAGGUCAAAGUCUGAUCAGGAUCCACUGAAAGCUUUUCCACCUAUCGUGUUUACAGACACUCAAACGCUACAAAAACCAUCACGUCCUUGGCUGAGGUGAGUGGGAAUCAAUGAAGAAACCCAAAAACCAUCGAGAUUCACUGCUUAAAGGUGCAGUAGGCACCAAGUUUAAGUGACUUCCAUCAGACAGGCACUGGGACCAGGACCGGGACCAGGACCGGGACCAGGACCUUUAAACAGCUUUGUAAAGUGAGACAUGUUUGGAGGCAAUCCCAAGAAAACAUCUUUCGCCCCUGAGGUUGCGUGCUGCAGCUAAACUUAGAGGCGGUCAGUUUAUCUGUGUGUGUACGUGUGUGUGUGUGUCAUGGUAGAAGAGAGUGUCUGGGGAUUUUGCAGCUGGAGUCGGUGUUUUUCCUGUGUCUGCCCUCGUGGGUGGAGUCCCUGGUGUCUCACCUGAGUUCCAUCCACGGUUAAUCAGCAGAAGGUUCUUGAGGCCAGCGCUGUCCUCCACUCGCCACCAGUUUGUCAGCUACGUUCUGGUGGGAACUAGGCCUUCAUGUACCGUGUUUUUGUGAUUUAGUCCUUGUGUUUAAUCUUGUUUCCCUGUUCCUUAGUUAGUGGUCAAUCUACAGACGCAUCCACUGCUGAAGCUUCUAUCGGACGCUGGUCAUACCUGGAAAGUUCAUCUGUAACCUUGGAAAAACAACUACUCACCACACUUACCUGCCUGGCCUCCUGCUCAUCGUUCUCCUCCUGGACUCCCUUGGAGCUGGAUCGGAUCUCUUGCUACUCCCACUGCUCUCACCUUGCCCGGACACUCGAGCCUGCAUCCGAGUCCUGAUUGGAUAAGGCAUAGACAGGAAGGGAAAAGUGAUGACUAUUAGUACAAAUGGAAGAAGAUGUGACCUUUAUCUGAAUGAUCCUGAGGUGGAUCCCCGACACGCUACUCGCACGCUACAGUUCAGGCUCAGCAGGCUGCAUUAUCACAGGAAUGCUACCUGCACACCUGUGUCACCUGCUGUUCACGUGAUUGGACCUUCGGAUAAGAGUGUGCUUUACAUGCUGAUGUGCAAACUGUGAAUGCAGCUCUUCCAGGAAUGAAGCGCAGCAGCGCUGCAUGCCUUUCAAACACACAACCAGAUGGUGCAGUCUGCUCUUUUGCACCAGCGCGUCUCACAAACACCAGUGAAACAUCACAGUUUGAUCAGGUGUGAACAGCAGCCAGUUGUUCAGCUGGUGCUGAACUUGUUCUCUGGGUUAAAAACAUCACAGCUGCUGCUGCCGGAUCUCUGAGCACCUCAAUGCUCAAACCUGUAACUCCAUCUCAUUCGCACGGAGUGAGCUCUGGGGCUAUGAGGAACACACUGAAGUGCCAAAACCUGCAGUCCCUCUAACGUCCAGCAGUGACUCCCCUUUCAUCAGAACUCUACAGGGCGGGGGGUUUAGAUUCACCAGUGUGGGUCAGCUGAAGGGAAAUGGCAGUUUUUGUGGAACUUGAGACGAUGAAAGUGUAUUCACGCCAUGUCUGUGCUACCUCUGUCAGCGGUGACAACGAAAUGAGAAGAACCGAGCCGGGGCCUUUCAGUGUAAGUUUUGCAUGUUCUCCCUGCGCCUGCAGGUUUCCCUCCACAGUCUAAAGACUCACAGGUCAGUUUGAUUCUACGCUGGCCAUGUGACGUGCUGUAUGAGUGUGCGGUCAGAGCACCCCAUGUAGUUCAAAGUGCUCCCAUUGAUCAGUAAGAGGUCAUAAGAUUAGAAAUGCAUCUGAGCUCUG
ensembl:lncRNA